CCCCUCUCAGAGUCGCACCUGGAGAGUUUCCAGGACUCUACCAGUCUCGACUACGGGAGGGAGAAUCAAGCAGAGGCAUAUCCUUUCCUAGCUUGGCCAGUGGCUAGCGAGUGGAAGGCAAUCUGCUACAAAU